rnacentral:lncRNA from 1 species
CUUCGUCACCGAUGACGGCAGCCUAUGGGAGGUGGCGCGGACAUCGGCGAGGACCGGGGACGCCACGAGUGUGCCUCCUUGCCGACCGAUGAGAUCUAAGCAAACCACGGCGGGUGGCCCGGCGAGCGAUCGGCAAGUGGUGGUGCGGACACGACCUCCCCCAGCAGAGCUUCCCAUCAUGGGCCCACCAUCGUCGGUGGCGCGGAUUUGGAUCACGAAGAGAGAGCGACGCAGUUUUAAGUUCUCUCCCACUUCCGACGCAAAAUGGGUGCUCGCAUUGCAUUCUCUCUUGGAGAGUGUUUUUUCACUGUAUAUUAGCCAUUUUAUGUAUGGGUAGACUUUUGUGUUCCUUGUUGGAGACGGUCUUACAAGCAAAGAAAGCAAUAAAAAGGAAAACCGUUGACAAUGGUGUCUGCCUCUUCACUAUUUUUCUAUUCCUAUCAUCAUGUAAUUGCAUAAUUUGUCUGUAAUUUGUGAAACGAAUCUUUUGAGUCUAG